GGACGUGGCCAUUGAGUUCUAAGAGUCACCCAGGGAAGUUGUCAAGAAGAAGCCGCACAGUCCCACCCACUGGACAGAAGCAGACACAAUGCCUUAACCUACCACCUCUAGUAGCACCAACGUGCGUAGACUCCAAUGGGAUGACUCUGAGUGAUGGACAGCUGGUUCUGAGCCUGUUGAAGCUGGCUGGGGGAAGGCUAGAGAAAGUGGUGACAGCACCGUGUGCCACCUCAGUGCAUGUACUGUUUACCAGCUCUCUGGCGUCUUCACCCCAAUGUACAAGUGUUCUAGGGGGUCACUCUACAGCCCCCUGAUCUCCACCAGCAGGUAUCCCUGGCCAUUUUGUGGAUGAGUAUACUGAUGCUUAAAAACUGACAUAGCCCAUCUGGAUGAAUGGCAAGUGCAAGGGGCUGGAGGAUAGGGCAGGGGUACCUACUGUGUGCUAGGGGUACCUACUGUGUGCCUGGGCUGCAAGAGGCUGUCUCAGAGCAAAUCUGUCCCUGCUGGAUUCCAUCUACUUCAAGAGGACGACUCAGGCCACCUUAGCCUACAGGGCAGAAGGUGGGGCUGGAGCAGGGACCCAGAAUCCUUGGCCCUAUCUCCUGCCCUGUCCUGGGCAAGGAUCUCUCUCCCUGGUUGGAGGCCAGGCUGAGCCCCUUAGGAGCUGAGGGUAGGGUAGAUCUGGCACCAGGUAGAGCCUCUGAGGACAGGACUGGCCCUGGCUUCUCUGAAAGAGCAACUCUGGGUGGCCUCCUGUUUGCCAGCACACAAUCGUCUCUGGGUCUGUGUCUGAUGGAGUGAGCCCUUCUCUGCCCAAGUGGGGCAGACAGCUACCUGUGUGUGAGGCCAUAGGGGGUCUUCUGAUACACAUGCCAGGUGCUUACUUUCCUGGGGGGUCCUUAGGAGCAUCCAGGUU
rnacentral:lncRNA from 1 species